rnacentral:rRNA from 1 species
AUUAGCUUGUUGGCAGGGUAAAAGCCUACCAAGGCGACGAUCAGUAGCCGGCCUGAGAGGGUGAUCGGCCACACUGGGACUGAGAUACGGCCCAGACUCCUACGGGAGGCAGCAGUAGGGAAUAUUGCGCAAUGGCCUAACGGCUGACGCAGCAACGCCGCGUGGAUGAUGAAGCUUUUCGGAGUGUAAAAUCCUUUCAGCAGGGAAGAAUAUCUUGACGGUACCUGCAGAAGAAGUCCCGGCCAACUCCGUGCCAGCAGCCGCGGUAACACGGGGGGGACAAGCGUUGUUCGGAUUCACUGGGCGUAAAGCGCUCGUAGGUGGGCUGGAUAGUCGGAUGUGAAAUCCUGAGGCUUAACUUCAGGCCUGCAUCCGAAACUGCCAGUCUUGAGUACUGGAGAGGGUGGCGGAAUUCCUGGUGUAGCGGUGAAAUGCGUAGAUAUCAGGAGGAACACCGAUGGCGAAGGCAGCCACCUGGACAGAUACUGACACUGAGGGGCGAAGGCUAGGGUAGCAAACAGGAUUAGAUACCCUGGUAGUCCUAGCGGUAAACGAUGGGCACUAGGUGUUGGCGGUAUCGACCCCGCCAGUGCCGCAGCAAACGCAUUAAGUGCCCCGCCUGGGGAGUACGGUCGCAAGAUUGAAACUCAAAGGAAUUGACGGGGGCCCGCACAAGCGGUGGAGUAUGUGGUUCAAUUCGACGCAACGCGCAGAACCUUACCUGGGCUUGACAUAUACCGGAAAGCCACAGAGAUGUGGUUCCUCCUUCGGGAGUCGGUAUACAGGUGCUGCAUGGCUGUCGUCAGCUCGUGUCGUGAGAUGUUGGGUUAAGUCCCGCAACGAGCGCAACCCUCGUUCUUAGUUGCCAUCAGGUUAUGCUGGGGACUCUAAGAAGACUGCCGGUGACAAGCCGGAGGAAGGUGGGGAUGACGUCAAGUCCUCAUGGCCCUUACGCCCAGGGCUACACACGUACUACAAUGGCCGGUAUAGACGGCAGCAAUACCGCAAGGUGGAGCUAAUCCCUAAAACCGGCCUCAGUUCAGAUUGGAGUCUGCAACUCGACUCCAUGAAGGUGGAAUCGCUA